rnacentral:rRNA from 1 species
CCUACGGGUGGCAGCAGUGGGGAAUAUUGCACAAUGGGGGAAACCCUGAUGCAGCGACGCCGCGUGAGUGAAGAAGUAAUUCGUUAUGUAAAGCUCUAUCAGCAGGGAAGAACAAUGACGGUACCUGACUAAGAAGCACCGGCUAAAUACGUGCCAGCAGCCGCGGUAAUACGUAUGGUGCAAGCGUUAUCCGGAUGUACUGGGUGUAAAGGGAGCGCAGGCGGCGCGUUAAGCCGGGGGUGAAAGCCCGCGGCCCAACAGCGGGACUGCAUUGGGUACUGGCGAGCUGGAGUGCAGGAGGGGUAGGCGGAAUUCAUAGUGUAGCGGUGAAAUGCGUAGAUAUUAGGAGGAACACCAGUGGCGAAGGCGGCCUACUGGACGGUGACUGACGCUGAGGCUCGAAAGCGUGGGGAGCAAACAGGAUUAGAUACCCGGGUAGUC